ACCCAGACCUACUGAAUUGGAAGUGCUGAGGAUAGGGUCCAGCAAUCUGUGGUUGAACAAGCUCUGCAGGCAUCCAGGAGCAGAGCUGUGGGGCAGCAGAAUCCGUGAUGACAGAGAAUGAUGAUGUAUUUUUGCCAGCAGAUGCUUUUGCUCCUGUUUUGAUACCCCAAUAUUCAGAUGCAGAGAAGGACUCUGAGCAUUGCUGACGGGUGUGCUCUGCACACCUAUCUCUUCAGGAUCUGAAUAAUUUGGUGGAAAGACAAUGCCUUUUCUGGAAAAGGGUGUCAGGAAAGGUCCAAGGCUCAAGGAAAAUGGACAUCACAUGCACAACCUCCUAACUCAGAGGACAAGCAAGUGACCGGAAGGCCAAGGAUGCUGUCUGACCACAGACAUUGCAAUGCAGACACAUAAGAUUAGAAGCAAAAGGCAGGAGGCUGGAGUUACCUUUCGUGGAAGGGUAAGCAGAAAGCAACUACAAGAUCAUCAUUUCAAAACAAUAUGAAAGCAGAAUGGGAAAUGCCAUGGCAUGCUCCCUCUUUUCAGGCAAUAUGGACACUUUGGGGAAGUUAUGAAGUGUCUCCCAUUCCCGCUUGAGGUACUCAAUAGAGCCCACAAACACAAUGUGCUUGAGCUCGUGGUAAUGAAAGUUGCUGGCACGGAGCGGCAUCACCAGGUUCCGGAGGCCGAUCAGGGCUGAGCUGACAUCGCCAAAGAUGCAGACCACGACAUGGCCACUCAGGACGGUCAUAGCAGCUUCACUUCGAGUCUACAACAGGGAGAAGUGGGUAAGAGUCAGAGAGAAGACUGCAUAGGGCUGUCGUAAGGAGUGAAAAAAAUCAUUUGUGCAAAGAAUCAGGCAAAUA
rnacentral:antisense_RNA from 1 species